AUUGAACGCUGGCGGCAGGCUUAACACAUGCAAGUCGAGCGGGGGAGGUUACUUCGGUAACUGACCUAGCGGCGGACGGGUGAGUAAUGCUUAGGAAUCUGCCUAUUAGUGGGGGACAACAUUCCGAAAGGAAUGCUAAUACCGCAUACGUCCUACGGGGGAAAGCAGGGGAUCUUCGGACCUUGCGCUAAUAGAUGAGCCUAAGUCGGAUUAGCUAGUUGGUGGGGUAAAGGCCUACCAAGGCGACGAUCUGUAGCGGGUCUGAGAGGAUGAUCCGCCACACUGGGACUGAGACACGGCCCAGACUCCUACGGGAGGCAGCAGUGGGGAAUAUUGGACAAUGGGGGGAACCCUGAUCCAGCCAUGCCGCGUGUGUGAAGAAGGCCUUUUGGUUGUAAAGCACUUUAAGCGAGGAGGAGGCUCCUUUAGUUAAUACCUAAAGAGAGUGGACGUUACUCGCAGAAUAAGCACCGGCUAACUCUGUGCCAGCCGCCGCCGUAACAC
rnacentral:rRNA from 1 species